rnacentral:rRNA from 1 species
UACGAAGGUGGCAAGCGUUACUCGGAAUUACUAGGCGUAAAGGGCAGGUAGGUGGUUUGGUUAGUCUGUUGUGAAAGCUCCUUGCUUAACGGGGAGAGGCCAACAGAUACUGCCAGACUUGAGUAUAGGAGAGGGUACUGGAAUUCCCGGCGUAGCGGUGAAAUGCGCAGAGAUCGGGAGGAACACCAAUGGCGAAAGCAGGUACCUGGACUAUUACUGACACUCAGCUGCGAAAGCUAGGGGAGCAAACAGG